rnacentral:rRNA from 1 species
AUGAAACUCAUAAGCUGGAAUUGUCGAGGACUAAUGGGGACCCCGACGGUUCGUUCGCUUCUGGACAUCCAGAGGCGGCAUAACCCGGAUGCGUUUUUUCUGUCCGAGACGCAUUUGGAUGAAAAUAGGGCAGAAGAUUUGAUGAGAAGGAUGGGCAUGGACUACAAAAUUGUUGCACCAUGUCUCGAUGGCAGAAAAGGUGGAUUGCUUCUA